rnacentral:rRNA from 1 species
UAUUGGACAAUGGGGGGAACCCUGAUCCAGCCAUGCCGCGUGUGUGAAGAAGGCCUUAUGGUUGUAAAGCACUUUAAGCGAGGAGGAGGGUACUGGUAUUAAUACUACCAGGUACUGGACGUUACUCGCAGAAUAAGCACCGGCUAACUCUGUGCCAGCAGCCGCGGUAAUACAGAGGGUGCGAGCGUUAAUCGGAUUUACUGGGCGUAAAGCGUGCGUAGGCGGCUAAUUGAGUCGGAUGUGAAAUCCCCGAGCUUAACUUGGGAAUUGCAUUCGAUACUGGUUAGCUAGAGUGUGGGAGAGGAUGGUAGAAUUCCAGGUGUAGCGGUGAAAUGCGUAGAGAUCUGGAGGAAUACCGAUGGCGAAGGCAGCCAUCUGGCCUAACACUGACGCUGAGUACGAA